UGAAAUAGCUCAGUUGGUAGAGAAUGAGAUUCUCGAUCUCAGGGUCAUGGGUUUGAACCCCACACUGGGCAAAA